UACGUAGGGUGCGAGCGUUAAUCGGAAUUACUGGGCGUAAAGCGUGCGCAGGCGGAUUGUUAAGCAAGAUGUGAAAUCCCCGGGCUUAACCUGGGAAUGGCAUUUUGAACUGGCAGUCUAGAGUGUGUCAGAGGGGGGUAGAAUUCCACGUGUAGAGGUGAAAUGCGUAGAGAUGUGGAGGAAUACCGGUGGCGAAGGCAGCCCACUGGGAUAGCACUGACGCUGAUGUGCGAAAGCGUGGGUAGCAAACAGG
rnacentral:rRNA from 1 species